GAGUGCGGGGCUCUAGUGCAGCUCGACUAGAGCCCUGUAAUGGUACUGAACCAGAACACGUAAUCCGUGCCUUUG
rfam:Bat coronavirus HKT8 strain AFCD77, complete genome.